CUCAGCUCCGCUUGGUUGCUGGCUCCCUGAGGACCCUGAGGGAUAGGAAUGGAUAUCUGAGGGGCGCGAGGGGCCAGGGGACCAACAAAUCCCACCUGAGGCCCAGGUUCCUGAACAAGGGAGACAAGGGGCCAGGAGACACAAGCCCCAGACCAAAGGACUCCUGCCCAUGUAGGAAUCAUGGGGAGGAGAUGAAAGGUGACCUCCAGAGGGCCUUCAGAAACAUCUGAUUGACUUGGGAGGUUCAGAGGUUGGGCAGACAAAGGCAGGACAGGCCAAGAACUUAAAGUCUGAAAGAAAAUCUCAUGGAAAACAGUGUUGGGAUAUCUGGACAUGUCUCCUCACAGGAAUCCUGGGGAGGAGAUGAAAGGUGACCUCCAGAGGGCCUUCAGAAACAUCUGAUUGACUUGGGAGGUUCAGAGGUCAGGCAGACGAAGGCAGGACAGUCUGAGAACCUUAACUCCUAAAGAAAAUCUCUUGGGAAAAUAUGGUGGAAGAUCUGGACAUAUUUCCUCCUAGGAAUCCUGGGGAGGAGAGGAAAGGUGACCUCCAGAGGGCCUUCAGAAACAUCUGACUGACUUGGGAGGUUCAGAGGUCGGGCAGACAAAGGCAGGACAGCCUGAGAACCUGGAGUCCUGAGGAAAAUCUCAUGGAAAAUUAUGUUGGGAUAUCUGGACAUAUCUCCCCAGAGGAAUCAUGGGGAGGAGAUGAAAGGUGACCUCCAGAGGGCCUUCAGAAACAUCGGAUUGACUUGGGAAGUUCAGAGGUUGGGCAGACAAAGGCAGGACCACCUAAAAACCUGAAGUCCUCACGAAUAUCUGAUGGGAAAAGAUGGUGGAAGAUUUGAACAUAUCUCCACAGGUGAGUAUUCCUAUCUUUCAGGUGUAUUUUCACAGGCAUGAGUAGUCACCCCUCCAUGUAUGCAUCUGAGAAUUCAUAUGUUUUCUCUGUAUGUUAAUUCUCUCCUAUACUUGCUUUUUAUCCCUAUUUCCAUAUGCCUAGGUCCACUCUACAAAUGAAUCUAUAGCUAUAAGUUCUCCUACAUUGUCAUAUUAUAUUUAUAUUUAUAUAUAUAUAUCCAUAAAAUAUGAGCUAUGGUGUAUACACAGUAUAUAUCUAUACACAUAGACUAUGUUGUUUCUUCUGACUCAUAUAUGUUCUCUGUUGGUGUUUAUGAGCAAUUGUACCACUGUUCUAUAUUCCUCUAAGGAUACUUCAUUUGUGUGUACAUAUUCACUCCACAGUCCUCUAUGUACAGGUACCUUUAUCCUCUGUCUACAUUUCCAUAUAUGAGGACAUGUAGACACUGGACACUCACAGACAUGGGUCUUCAGGUAUUCUCUGCCUGUCAGAGAAGCAGUAGAAUACUUUUAGCAAUAGUGAGAGGAUAUAGGAGGGGCAGCUAGGUGGUGCAGUGGAUAGAGCACCGGCCCUGGAGUUAGGAAGACCUGAGUUCAAAUAUGACCUCAGACACUUAAAACUUACUAGCUGUGUGAUCCUGGGCAAGUCACUUAAGCCCAAUUGCCUCACCCCCAAAAGAACAACAAAAAAAAGAGGAUAUAGGAGACCUGAUAUAUGUCAAGAGAGAGAAUGUAUGUAUGUAUGUAUGUAUGUAUGUAUGUAUGUAUAUAUAUGUAGAUAAAAAUAAAUGUAUCGAAUAAAUGUGGGUACUCAGAUGUGAAUAGAGAACGAAAAUAUAAGUGCUCAUCCACGUAGAAAUUGAAAGAAUGAUUGUUAAUGUUUAUGAGUGGAAAGAAGUUAUAAAUAAUAUGAAAGAAUUAAUGAAAAAAGUAAAAUGACUUUAUAAGGGAAUGAAAAAAACCUGAGUACAUAUAUGAGAAUAUAUUCUGUCUUCCUAUUAUAAGGUACCUUAUCUAUAUAAUUAUCAACAUGAGUGUUCAGUUGUAAUGUA